ACUCACACACGCAUUGCAGUACUGGGCCCUAUGCAAUGGAGAUCCGCACCUCCUCCUGAAAUUUUUGGAUCCACGGCGGCGUUAGUACUCGGUCCUAGGGAAUCCAUGGCGGCGUGGGCGUCGUCAGGCUCCGGCAAGCUUCGAUUUCUGGCAUCCAUGGCGGACCUCACCGACUCCGCCGUCCUCGGGCUCUGGACCUCGUCACCGUGCGCCGCCGCCGUCCUGCGCCUCGCUCCCUCACGCUGGUGCUCCUCCUAGAUGCUGGUGCUCCUCCAGCUGGUGGCCCAGGUCACCGGCGGUACAGCGCACCGAGUACGGCUACGUCCUCGGGUAAAAACUGCUACGGAGCUCAAUCGAGAGGAGGAUAUGAUGAAGGCUGACUGGACAGUCGAUGAAGAGUCAUGAGUUCAUUGAGUCUGUUGCUGCACCUAACAAGAUUCUCUCAGCUGCUGUGACUGAAGGAAAUCUCUGUUGAUGAGUUGUAGCAGGCUGAUCUGAUGGAUGAUGGGAGUGUUGAAGAAAAUGUGAAUGUAGCUCAUGAUGCUCCGUUUGCUUGCAGGCGCUAAUGGCUGCAUGUACCAACCCAGAGUUGAUGUGAACCCGGCUACAUGAACACCUUUUACUAAUGUGAAAUGCCUCAAUGCCCAUAACCAAAUAGCUAAAGGACUUCAAGCAUCAUCAGUGAAUGCAUUAAAGGUUCAUGUGUCACCAAGAGGAUUAAGUGCCACUUCAAGGACUGCAAGUGCUCAUUUUCAAAGUUCAACCUCUGGUGUGGUGCCAGUACGUGUUUGCUUCCAGUGUGGGUGUCGACGGAAGGUAGGAGGCCAGCCCCACCACCUCUGUUUCUUCUCAUAUGCACUGCGGGCUGCUUUGGAUUCCGUCCGGGUGAAGUGGGUGUUGAUGUGGGCUAGGAUGGGAACGGCAACGUUGAUUCUUGCUUGAACAAGAUGGUCGCUCUCCAUCGCGGAUAGAGGAUGCCAAGGUGAACUCCGUGCUAUGCCUACUUCUGUAUCUUUGUACGGCGGUAUGCUAAAUGUUUGGUCCAUCGACUAAUCGGUGUGUAUGCCAGUUUUUUAAUGUAGUAUAUCAAAUAUUUUUUACCCGUGACCAUUGUAUUGGUUCAGGUGUUCAGUGUUAACAUUCAGCUGUUGGGUUGCUAUCCGAGAAUUCAGAACAAGAAGAAGGCAGAAGUUCAUGUUGAUUAACAUGACAAGACAGUGAAUAUACCCGGUAAAUGCUCCAAAGCAUUAGCCUUCGAUGGAGCUGGCAAAGAAUCUUUGCAAAUGUUACAAAAAAAAACAUAGUAGUGAUAUUACCAGAUGGCACAUAUAGUUUUCCACUUGCAGAAGCAGCCACCUUACUGACUAUGUUUAGCCAACUGCAGAUCAAGUAUUACUUCCUGUUCAAAAAAAAAGUAUUACUUACAAUUCCGAAGUGGUGUAUGUAUAUUAAGAUUCGUACAUGACUGCUCAUUUUGGAACCUUUCUUAAUGUAAGCACCAGGUUACAAUCACAUGGCCAGUGACAUGUGCAAUAAGCGGUAGUUUUGGGCUUCUUUUCUUGUGAGUGCCAGCAUUACAAGGGGCCCUAAUCCAGCCAAAGGAUCAGCAGAAUUGGUUGUCUAAUUCAUGAACAUUUGUCAGAGACAUGGUUAAGAAUUAGAAAUGUAUGCUGGAGUGAGCGGAAACCACAGAUUGUUAUGGAAGCAAAGAGGCAGUCAAAAGAACUGGGGUGUAGACAAAGUUGACGUCUUGCAACAGUUUUGUUGGAGGACUUGACUCAAAGGAGUAUAUUCAGACUGGAUUCUUACCGGCUACAUGGCGUUUUGGCACCGUUAACAGUACAUGGCAGAGCAAUGCUUUGCAUCUACUGGUUAUUGAGAAAUCCGAAAUGCUGAUCCGUAGAGCCUGUAAAUUUCUUUUUGUGGGUAUCUUUGUGUAGAAGUGUAACUGUAACCAGUGACACAGGACAGUCGUGUUGCCGCAGUCCAAUAUUCAGGUACACAUGAAAAAAAGUAUUUCAGAGAUCAUGGUGCUAAUUCAUUUUUUCAUAUUUAUAGUUUUGGUCUUUUUGGUUAAAUAAGAUAGUGCAAAAGAUCCUACAAAAAGGUUGUGCUUUCUAUUUCAAAGUAACAAGUUAUUAUAGAAGUCAAGAAAUUAAAUAAAUCAUACAUUUACCUCCAUAUUUUUUAGGUCCUCGGCAACAAUAUGCCAUCUCAAUAACUUUAGUUAGAUAUGAACGAACGAAACUUUAGUUAGAUAUGAACGAACGAUAUGAUAUUGAAAGUUGUAGUCGUUUUUGAUGAAAUAUCAUAAGAACUAUAGAAGAUCCAACAAAAAUUCGUUCUUCGAAGAUCCAACGAAAAUGCGUUCUUCCUAUUUACAAAGUAAUAGACCACUACAGAACGUAAUGGAUGUGUUAUAUGUUCCAACCAAGCUAGGUAUGAAAGCAAAUUAAUUUACAAGAAAAAAUAUGUUAUACAUUUUCCAAUAUGGCAAGAUCCAGUAAGUCUUCCUCUUUGCUGCAUUUGUCUUACAGUCUGAAAUAGCAACAAUACGUUAAGAAUGGGUCCUCAACAACAAUAUGAUACCUCCAUAUUUUGUAGGUCCUCAGUAACGAUAUGAUAUCUCAUUAACUUUAGUUAUAAAGGAGCAAUAUGAUUCCUAGGUACUGCUAAGUAUAAUUUAUCUUUUGUUUCCAUUGUCGGUUGUAGGGCUGAUUAGAUUUUUCUUCAGAUUGUCCUGCAAAUAUCCCUGUUUUUUCUGAUUUUGUUUGUUCUUUUCUAAAUGGAAUUCACUCUUAUCUCUUCGUGAAGAUUAACCUACAACUGCAAAUGUAUUAUUGUCAACUUUGUUAUAUUUUCUCAUUAUCAUUGUAGUAAGGCAUCAUGACAUCUUAGCUUCACUUUGUUUGAAAUAUCCAGUUGAAUGCUAUCAUGGUUUGCAACAGUAUUGUUUAACAACAGGAAGAACAAGAGUUAAUUGAUCUUCUUACUUACCAUGUUUAGUGCUCAUUCUUUAAGAGGGACAUUACAGCAACAUGUAAGCAAUUGGUGGAUGAUGCAAGCAAAUAUAUAGCUUAAUAAAGCGCCCGUUAUCGAAAAAAUAGCUUAAUGUCCAUCGUGGGACAAUAUUGAGCCAACUCAGGCAUGCUUCUCUCAUGUUCACUACCAUCUUAGAUAUCAUAAGUGCAGACCACUAGCAUGUCAUUUGUGGCAAUGUACGUGUAUCAACUUACCGUGAGAUUGUAUAAAUUUUUGUCAAAUAUGUAAUCAACUGCUAUGCCAAUCUGCCAUUGAACUGAGAAUCGCCUGACAGCAAUUGCUACUACCUUACACCAAAAGACAAUUACAACGGACAACCUUGUGGCACAACAAUUACUACUACCUUUCACCAAAACACAAUUACGUCGGACUACCUUGUGGUGUGGCAUGCCACCGUGCACAUACUCAAUGCACACCCGCAUGUUUUGCCCCCACGUUUUCUCUGACAACAAGACCGAGACCAACGACCAUGGAGACAUUGUUGUGGCUGAUACCAGCAAGAAUCUGGACUAAGAACCGGAUGAUCAACCAUAUGAUCUUUCCUCCUGUUAUCUUAUCCUUAGUCAAAGUGUGAGCUAGGAUAAUCUAACAGGCCAUGUGCUACUGCCGUCUGGCUCUGCCCAGUCUAUGUACAACCUGCCAUCAUGUAACACAUUAGCAUUACCAUGUGUUCUGAUAUAAAUAUUGUUGUUCACUCAAGUAUUACGUCUAAAACUAUAUAUCUUAUCAAUUCCCCAGCGUUACUUAUACCGAGACCCCUGCCAAAGAUACAAGACAACAGGUGCUGUGUUGACAGCUUCAAAGAAGAUGCUUGAACUCAGAAUCCACCCAGUGUCUUCUCCCUGCCCCAUACAGUGUGUUGGCGAUAAACGUUUUCACCAACUAGAAGUCGACAGGAUAUGAGAACAAGUAACUCACAAGGUGCGAUCUAUAAGAGGAGAAUACUUUUUAGUCGUAGUGGCACAAUGUGAUCUAUUCUCUUUUGGAUAGAAAUGUCUGUUGUCUUUAUAAUGCAAUGUGUGUGCCAAUGGUUUACAUGCAGUUUUGGAUUCAAGCACAUUAUGGUCUUGAGUAAAAAUAUUUUAUUGAGUUUACAUAAGUUAAGAUUCUAUGUAUAUUUAAGUUGGUGAAAAUAUCUUCCAUUUGAAUAUAUAUGGUUACAACGUCAUAUGCAGGUUUAGAAACUGUGGUACAAAUCAAAGUAUGAUGUAUGAUGAUUUCUAAGGAAGAUAGUUUCGGUUGAUUUUCCUGUUUUAAUUUACAAUGUGUGUCAUUGAUAUCACCUACUAUUAUUUUUAAUGUACUGCGGUUAACUGCAAUCUCUUGAAAGUAAAGAAGGAAAAGAAACAUGUGACUGCCAAUAUUUUAUGGAAGGUAAUGCAUCUACAUAUUCACAUUCUUUAUGUUUUCAAUUCUCUAUAUUAUCUUCUUUGCUUCGGUGGUGGUUUUCUCUAUUGCCAGUUUACACACUAAGGUGAAAACAAUAAUCAAAAAAAUAAUUGUCCCAUCAAGACCAGUCUAAACAUGUAUUACAAUUUAAGUAGUGUAUCCUGUUUUUCCAUCGAAUUUUCCACCGAUCAGCCACGAUACUGGUGCGGCGUGCCGCCGCGCCGA